GAUGAACGCUAGCUACAGGCUUAACACAUGCAAGUCGAGGGACCGGCGGACGGGUGAGUAACACGUAUCCAACCUCCCCUUUACUCGGGGAUAGCCUUUCGAAAGAAAGAUUAAUACCCGAUAUAAAGGAUGGGGAUGCGUUCCAUUAGGUUGUUGGUGAGGUAACGGCUCACCAAGCCUUCGAUGGAUAGGGGUUCUGAGAGGAAGGUCCCCCACAUUUGAACUGAGACACGGUCCAAACGCCUACGGGAGGCAGCAGUGAGGAAUAUUGGUCAAUGGGCACUAGCCUGAACCAGCCAAGUAGCGGGAAGGAAGAAGGCUAAAGAGGCGUAAACUUCUUUUAUAUAAGAAUGUGUAUUAAAUGAGUAAGGAUCGGCUAACUCCGUGCCAGCAGCCGCGGUAAUAC
rnacentral:rRNA from 1 species